GACGAACGCUGGCGGCGUGCUUAACACAUGCAAGUCGAACGGAAAGGCCCUGCUUUUGUGGGGUGCUCGAGAGGCGAACGGGUGAGUAACACGUGAGUAACCUGCCCUUGACUUUGGGAUAACUUCAGGAAACUGGGGCUAAUACCGGAUAGGAGCUCCUGCUGCAUGGUGGGGGUUGGAAAGUUUCGGCGGGUGGGGAUGGACUCGCGGCUUAUCAGCUUGUUGGUGGGGUAGUGGCUUACCAAGGCUUUGACGGGUAGCCGGCCUGAGAGGGUGACCGGCCACAGUGGGACUGAGAUACGGCCCAGACUCCUACGGGAGGCAGCAGUGGGGAAUAUUGCACAAUGGGCGGAAGCCUGAUGCAGCAACGCCGCGUGCGGGAUGACGGCCUUCGGGUUGUAAACCGCUUUCGCCUGGGACGAAGCGUGAGUGACGGUAAUGGGUAAAGAAGCACCGGCUAACUACGUG
rnacentral:rRNA from 1 species